rnacentral:rRNA from 1 species
AGCAGCCGCGGUAAUUCCAGCUCCAAUAGCGUAUAUUAAAGUUGUUGCAGUUAAAAAGCUCGUAGUUGAAUUUCGGGAUUAGUACGUUGGUCGUGCCUUUGGUACGUACUGGUGUUACUGAUUCCUACCUUCUGACGAACCAUCAUGUCAUUAAUUUGGUGUGGUGGGGAAUCAGGACUGUUACUUUGAAAAAUUAGAGUGUUUAAAGCAGGCUCGCGCUUGAAUACAUUAGCAUGGAAUAAUGAAAUAGGACGUUGAUCCUAUUUUGUUGGUUUCUAGGAUUGACGUAAUGAUUAAUAGGGAUAGUUGGGGGCAUUAGUAUUCAAUUGUCAGAGGUGAAAUUCUUGGAUUUAUUGAAGACUAACUACUGCGAAAGCAUUUGCCAAGGAUGUUUUCAUUAAUCAAGAACGAAAGUUAGGGGAUCGAAGACGAUCAGAUACCGUCGUAGUC